UGAUGUCCAUAUGAAUGACCUGGAACGC
rnacentral:piRNA from 1 species